rnacentral:rRNA from 1 species
GACGAACGCUGGCGGCGUGCCUAAUACAUGCAAGUAGAACGCUGAAGAGAGGAGCUUGCUCUUCUUGGAUGAGUUGCGAACGGGUGAGUAACGCGUAGGUGACCUGCCUUGUAGCGGGGGAUAACUAUUGGAAACGAUAGCUAAUACCGCAUAACAAUGGAUGACACAUGUCAUUUAUUUGAAAGGGGCAAUUGCUCCACUACAAGAUGGACCUGCGUUGUAUUAGCUAGUAGGUGAGGUAAUGGCUCACCUAGGCGACGAUACAUAGCCGACCUGAGAGGGUGAUCGGCCACACUGGGACUGAGACACGGCCCAGACUCCUACGGGAGGCAGCAGUAGGGAAUCUUCGGCAAUGGGGGCAACCCUGACCGAGCAACGCCGCGUGAGUGAAGAAGGUUUUCGGAUCGUAAAGCUCUGUUGUAAGUCAAGAACGGGUGUGAGAGUGGAAAGUUCACACUGUGACGGUAGCUUACCAGAAAGGGACGGCUAACUACGU